rnacentral:rRNA from 1 species
AUUAUUUAUUUAAGGAGUCCAGGUGGUUAAAUAAAGUCUUAAAAAACUCAAGGUAUUCACAUGCAGACUAUGUCUAAUGAUAUCUGACAAGACAAAAAGUGUCUAAGACAAAAGAUACACAACAAACGAAUAAAACUACUUAGAUACUCAUCAUAGCCUCCCAUACUUGGUAUCUCUUCAAUAUUAUGUCAUAUAUAAUGUUGUUAUACUUAAAUCUUACUCAAGUAAUGUCAUGGAUUCACCACCAAAAUAAAAGAAUAUGAUUGCCUCGAAUGCUCAAAACAAAACUCAAAACACACCAACUUCAAAAGUUCAAAACCCACUUCAAAGCUACCUGAUGCCUUAUUCCUCACCGUUCUCGGAUUCGAGCCCCUAAGUGUUCCGUGGGGUUCCAUCAUAAGUUCCUGUUGGUUCUCGGAUUCGAACCCCUACGGGGCCUACCGUAGGGGAGAAAGCAGAAAGCAGAAAGCAGGUAGCCAUUGCAAUGAACCUCGAUAUAAAAAUAAGUGGUGUACUAUACACAAAACGAACCUCGCAGUAAAAUAAAACAAUCAUAAACGAACGACGAUAAAUAUUAUUACAAAACGUAGAAAUAAAAGUUAUUUUUACAGUUGCUAUCGGAAAUGGUACGAAUAAAACGAUCAUAUGUACAACGACAAACUUUUGUCUUUCUAAUGGCGACAACGUUUGUAAGGGAUCUUUUCAGUCUCUUACCAUAUUAUAACUUAUAAAAACGUAUAACUCGAGACUAUUUAGAAUAUGUCGUAUCAUAAAAAGAGUAUUAAAAACCUCAAUCCAUUCAUAACUAUGAGAACUUAAGAAAUGUCCGACAUGACAAAACCGCCUAACGACAAUACAAACGUAACAAACGUAUACAAACGAACAAAUUACUAAUAUAAACUCCUAUCCUCAUAAUUUAAACGUCUCUGUAAAUCAUACGUUACAACUUAUUAUUAAAAUCACUAAACAAUGUCAUAUUUUACUGUUCCAAAACGUAACCAAAUAUGAUUGGAUAGAGUGCUCAAGAACAACUCAAACAACACCUACUUCGAAAACUAUUUUUCUUCUCUUUGGUACUAUACUCUCCUUAAUUCCUCUGUGUUUUCAAGUUCGAACCCCUGAGGGUUCCGUGGGGUUCUAUUAUAAAUUUAUUCAGAAUUCGUAGAUUAGAACCCCUACGGGGCCAUCCGUAGGGUGGAAAGAAGAAGUUGUUGAUAGCAUAAAGCUUCUUUUCCUUAUAGUUUGCCUCAGGUUUACCUUACUUUGGAAGCCCUCGCACUAAAAAUCCUUCUUAUACUAGGCCCUCUGAACCUCAAGUGCAGUCUUCUAGGAGCUCCUCCGGUUUUCUAUCCCCCGCGCGGGUGGGGGACCCGCGCGGGAUGGGAGAGCACCCGGGGAGCUCCGAGGGGGUUGGCUGAAGAAAGCGGAUAUAUUAGGAUGUAUGGGAUUUUUGUAGUUUUGUCUUCUAUCUAGCCCUCAAGGCGGUGGCGUUCGGAGAUAUCGGUGGUUUUUGGAGAGCCCUCGGGCAAGGUCGUGGGACGGCCUCCCCCUUCGGUAGUGGCCACCGGUAGAAGUAGUAGAGCCGUGAGAGGUACUGCUCCUCCCUCAUCAAGUGGGAGCUCCGAUUCCCAUACAUGGUCAUCAAUACACGAACUAGAGAGAGAGAGAACACAAGAGAGAUACCGUGCUAGAACUACAUAGCGCUCGAAACGAUUAUAUCA